GCCAGUCCCUUUGAAGUAAUCAGCUAAGUGAAGCAUUGGAUAAGCUAGGGCCUUUCAUAAUCAGAUGUCUGAGAGGAUUGUCAAAGAAAUCUCCUAACACUUGCCUUGUCGCUGAUGGUAUCUCAGCGCAGAUAAAAUACAAGCAGCAGUAAAAGGGAAGUCCCAAGACAUUAUCUGCCCACACCUGGACUGUGAAGGAUGCUGAACAGAGACUGAGACCAGGUGUGACUUUUACCGCUUGGAGAUUUCAAGAUGGCAAGUAUAAUGAGAUGAGGACAGCAAGCCACACAGAACCAAGGCUGUGUCAUGGUCACUAUGGCUGCAGGCACCCAAAAUCCAAAUCUUCUGCCUCACAAGAAGACAAUGGAGAGCACAGAUAAAAUAAGGAAAGAAGACAGAUGUUCCAGCAACUGGAGUGGCUUUCCAUGGAAACCUAGGCUUGCAUCCUUGAAUUGUUGCACAAAUAUAGUACAUCUAACACUGCUUUUCUUCAGUUUUUCAUCUCCUACAGCACAGAGAGACACUCCAGUUGAUAUAACAUGUCUAAGUUUGCUCAGAU